AUUUUUUUUUUUUUUUGGAGGGGGGUCUAUUGCUUUAUUUCCAGAAUGAUGUUCUGGCUUUGGAUUCUUCAGCCCUAGACAUUGAUCAAGUAGAAAAUCUCAUUAAAUUUUGUCAUACAAAAGAAGAAAUGACAAUGCUGAAGAACUACAAUGGGACCAACGAUAUGCUUGGAAUGUGUGAACAGUUUUUCUGGAGUUGAUGAAUAUCCCGCGAGUGGAGUCCAAAUUACGAGUAUUUGCGUUCAGAAUUAUUUUUUCCAGUCAGGUGAGUGACUUAAGAUGCAACCUGAACACAAUUAAUGCUGCUGCUAGAGAGGUAAAAGAAUCUGCAAAAUUGUGUCAAGUAAUGCAGAUGAUUCUCACUUUAGGAAAUGCAUUGAACCAAGGCACUACUCGAGGAAUUAUUCUGUGAGAUUGAAGUUUGUUAUGAUCUAUAUGAGAUAUUUUGUUUAG